rnacentral:rRNA from 1 species
GGCCGCGGGANNUCGAUUAGAGUUUGAUCCUGGCUCANNUUGAACGCUGGCGGCAUGCCUUACACAUGCAAGUCGAACGGCAGCACGGGGGCAACCCUGGUGGCGAGUGGCGAACGGGUGAGUAAUACAUCGGAACGUGCCCAGUAGUGGGGGAUAGCUCGGCGAAAGCCGGAUUAAUACCGCAUACGACCUACGGGUGAAAGCGGGGGAUCGCAAGACCUCGCGCUAUUGGAGCGGCCGAUGUCAGAUUAGGUUGUUGGUGGGGUAAAAGCCCACCAAGCCGACGAUCUGUAGCUGGUCUGAGAGGACGACCAGCCACACUGGGACUGAGACACGGCCCAGACUCCUACGGGGGGCAGCAGUGGGGAAUUUUGGACAAUGGGCGAAAGCCUGAUCCAGCCAUGCCGCGUGCGGGAAGAAGGCCUUCGGGUUGUAAACCGCUUUUGUCAGGGAAGAAAUCUUCCGAGCUAAUACCCCGGGAGGAUGACGGUACCUGAAGAAUAAGCACCGGCUAACUACGUGCCAGCAGCCGCGGUAAUACGUAGGGUGCAAGCGUUAAUCGGAAUUACUGGGCGUAAAGCGUGCGCAGGCGGUUAUGCAAGACAGAUGUGAAAUCCCCGGGCUUAACCUGGGAACUGCAUUUGUGACUGCAUAGCUGGAGUACGGUAGAGGGGGAU